GCUAGUAAUCGCGAAUCAGCAUGUCGCGGUGAAUACGUUCCCGGGCCUUGUACACACCGCCCGUCACACCAUGAGAGUUGGCAAUACCCAACGUACGUGAUCUAACCCGCAAGGGAGGAAGCGUCCUAAGGUAGGGUCAGCGACUGGGGUGAAGUCGUAACAAGGUACC
rnacentral:rRNA from 1 species